UGGGGAAUAUUGCGCAAUGGGCGAAAGCCUGACGCAGCGACGCCGCGUGUGGGAUGACGGCCUUCGGGUUGUAAACCAUUGUCGGGAGGGACGAAGAUCUGACGGUACCUCCAAAGGAAGCACCGGCUAACUCUGUGCCAGCAGCCGCGGUAAUACAGAGGGUGCGAGCGUUGUCCGGAAUCACUGGGCGUAAAGGGCGCGUAGGUGGCCUGAUAAGUAGGGGGUGAAAUCUCGUGGCUCAACUGCGAGGCUGCCUCCUAAACUGUCGGGCUUGAGCAGAGUAGAGGCAGGUGGAAUUCCCGGUGUAGCGGUGGAAUGCGUAGAGAUCGGGAAGAACAUCGGUGGCGAAGGCGGCCUGCUGGGCUCUUGCUGACACUGAGGCGCGACAGCGUGGGGAGCAAACA
rnacentral:rRNA from 1 species